rnacentral:rRNA from 1 species
UACGGGGGGGGCAAGCGUUGUUCGGAAUUACUGGGCGUAAAGGGCUCGUAGGCGGCCAACUAAGUCAUACGUGAAAUCCCUCGGCUUAACCGGGGAACUGCGUCUGAUACUGGAUGGCUUGAGUUCGGGAGAGGGAUGCGGAAUUCCAGGUGUAGCGGUGAAAUGCGUAGAUAUCGAGAGGAACACCAGUGGCGAAGGCGAGUCCCUGGACAACUCCUGACGCUGAGGCACGAAAGCUAGGGGAGCAAACAGG